AUUAUUAUUAUUAUCAUCAUCAACAACAGUUUGCCUCGGUAUAAGGAAAAAACGAAGCAGCAGAUCAAAAAAGAACUUUCCCUCUGUUCAUUGCCAUGGGCACCUCAUCCCCAUAAACAACAGAGGUGCAAAUAGUUUUCUGGGGAUUUGUUGAUGUGAGGGGGAUGUGAGCUGGCUUCAGUGGAAAGGGUUUGACCAAACCCACCCACCAGAUUUUAGCACAAGUCCAUUCCCCCCACCCACCCAAAGUCUAGCUAGCUCUGCCCUCUUUCCUAGUUCUGCACUGAGCAUAACAGGAUGUCAUGUCUUCGCUGGAAAGUGAUGCUUUUUUUUCCAGCGGAUGUGCAAUCGCCCACUGCCGACUUCUGCAAAAAAGCACUAGCUGAUUUUGCAGAAAUAUAGGUCAGGAGGUAGAGGCACCCCAGACAAGCCUGUUUGUUCCAGAUGACGUCUGUGUCUCGUGGAGGGCACAGGGUUUUCCAAAGUGGUCAUUGGGACCAGCAAGGAUGUUGUCACUGUUCAGCUGAUCGCCAGAGCUUGCAAAAGGACAGAGCAGCUGCUCUGCAUGCAGAAGGCCCCCGGUGUCCUCCCCAAUGGUAUCUCCAGGUAGGGUUGAAAACCCUGGAGAGCAGCUGCUAGUCAGUGUUGACAUUUUUGAGCUAGAUGGUUGGCACCCGUCUGUCUCAGGAAAAACUGAGGAGUGCGCCUUUGGAGAUGAAGUCAAACUGUUGGAGAGUUACAGCGCCUGCUGUGGCUGUGGAGACCGAUACGGGAGAGGCAUGCUUUGUUGCAGCUGGGGCAGAUGAAGGCGUCCGGUUCUGCUGCUGCGGAUGCACCACGGCGUUUCUUCUCUCUGCACUGCUCCCAGCAGUCAUUCCUCCUCUGGUCACUGCUAUGAAUGUCCGACCUGUCUGUCUCCAGGCACUGUGGUCAUCUGCAAGGGAUCCCCACAUGGCGGUGUUGAUACCGGUACUGCCAGCCUUUGUGUCACAUUUGCAGACCUCUUUGUGACACAGAGCUGGUCUGUCAACAGAUCUGGUGCCUGAAGCCAGCUCCCCGCAGAGCAUGGCCUUGGGGAUCCUGCCGUCUUCCAUUCUGUGCACAUGGCCAAGCCAGCGUAGAGGUCACCGAGACAGAAGCGUGAUCAUGCUCAGAAUGUAGGCUUGGGAGAGCACAUCUUUCUUUGAGACUCUGUCCUGCCAUGUGAUGCCCAAAACCAUGGCAUAACUUGGUACAAGUUUUCUAUGUUCAUAUUUAAAUCAGCUCUUUAUUCAGAAUCAUGAGGAGCAUAAUAUUUUUAAGGGAAAGACUGAAAUCAUGGAGAGCCACUACCAGUAAGCAUCAACAAUACUGAGCUAGAUUAGAAACAAAAAUACAUUUAGUAUUUAUUUUAAGGCAUUUAUAUACCACUCAGUUGUCUGGUAUUUCUAAGAGCUGUGCCUAAAAAUGAGCCAUACAGAGAAUAAACUAAAAAUCAUAAAAGCCCAACAGACACCUGCUAGAAUAAGGAAGUAUUUGUUGUGCAGCUGAAGUUCAGCAUGGAGGGGAGCUGUCAGGUGAGAGGGAGUUCCACAGACCAACUUCAUUUCUUCUAGUAGCUACAAGCCAAGCAUCUCAGCCAUGGGUGACCAUCAGCAGAGACUCCCCCAAGAUCUCAGUCAUCAGGUAGGGAUACAAGGGGUCAGGCAGUUGUCAGACCAAAGGCCAGGGGGAAAUGUGUGGGUAUUAUGACCCUGGGACUUUUCUGGAACCUAGGGUUGGUGCUCAGCUUCCCAUCUCUCAAAGGGACAAAAUUUGUUGCCAAUUGGAACGAAACCUCAGCAAAGGUGAGAGCCAGCAUCUAUCUCACUCUGCCCCUGGGCAGCCCACCCUGAAUUUCAGUUGCAACUGAAACCCUGAAACUGAAACUCUGCGGGCUCUGAGGACUGUCUUUGAAAGACAUGCCCGUUCUUAUGUAAGCAGAUUUAGCAGGUCGCUGGAGAUUGCAUCACCGCAACCCUUUUGUGGGAACAUACCUGAGGAAAUAAAAUAAACACCAACGCACACCUAUUUUUAAAAAGUACAUGCUGUAUUCAGAUGUCACAAAAAUGACGUAUGACAAGCCCAAACCUGUCCUGAGUUGCACUUAGGGACUGCCAAUCAUUAUUUCUUUUUCUAUUUUGAGAAAGAUGCAAAUAGAUUAGCAAAAGACAGUGUCUUCCUCUUCCUCCUGGGAAAACCAGAAAAACUCACCUCUCUAUUAAACAACAAUUGCUCAUGGAUCUGAGCUUCAUCAAUUCAGGGUGGGGAGCAAGUUUCUAGCCCUCAUUGUGGCAGGAAAACGCUUGACGCCAAUGAAGCUUUCUACCAAGGGUAGGUACAACUCCCAAUAGCCUCAGCAAGCAUGGCCAAAGGGUGGAAUAUAGUGAGGGAUGUGCACGAGUAUCUGUAGAAAGCAGUCUUCUGUACAAGGGCAAUAUUUACAACAUUUACAAAGUGUGUCGUUCCACACACUCUUGCCCCUGGCCCCUGGGAGGUUGCCCAGAAAGGAAUGCGGCCCUCAGGCUGCAAAAGUCUCCCUCUUCUUUUCUUUACAGCCUGGCUGAGUCAUGCAUUGAAGAAGCCCCUGGAACAUCCGGGAUCUUGCUGGACGAAAAACGUCCUCCUGAGACUUUGGCCCUUCUCAAACCCUGAGAUAAUAGAAUUCUCAUGUAUGACUCCCCAUAAACUUAAUCAUCAAACAAGCCUCAAAGUCCUACACAUAAAAAAGAGGGCAAAGUCUCUAGCAAUAACGUUUCUAGAAGAUAAGAGUAGACCUUCGACUGCGGAGAUAUCCUGGAAUAAUCUGCACCCUGCCUUGGGUGCGGAGGGACCCCAAGCUCCACAAAGAAACUACACUGAGACGGAGCAGGUUGAAAUAUCUUAGGAGUCAGGAUCAACCUAGCUCAACUUUCCCCAACCUGGUGCCCAUGAGACAUUUUGGACUACGACUCAUAUGUGGGGCUUCCCUAGACCCCAGCUAGGCCAAAGUCUCCAGCUGGUACAAAGCUCUGUGGCUAGACUGGAGUAUCUCCAGCGCAUAACUCCAGUGUCCAGAAGCCCCCACUGGUUGCCCCUACGUGACCAAGCCAGGUUCAAGUCGUUGUAAUUUACAAGGCCCUUAACAGCCUGAGUCCAGGAUACCCCGAGGACUGCUUGAGCCCUUAAAUCCCUGCCCCAUCACUGAGGUUUUUAUUACUCAGGUGCGCAGUUCUGAUCACCCAUAGAUCAUAGAAUUGGAAGGGGCCACGAGGGUAAACUAGUUCUAUCCCAUGCAAUGCAAGAAUAUUUUGCCCAUUGAGGGGCUCGAACACCUGAGACUAAAAGUCUCAUGCUCUCCUGACUGAGCUAUGCCGAAAGUGGUCCGUUUUGUAGGCCCAAUUUUAAGAAACUCCCCACCAGUUGAGGUCUGGGAUGCCCACUUUCCCUGUUGCACAUGGUAUUUUCCCUCCUUGUCCUGUAGGCUUAACAAUGUAAAACUGAAAGUAGGGAAAGGACACAGAGGUGACUGAAGGCCCCAGGCACAACCUGAGACCCUCCCAGCAUUGGGUGAAGACUCAGCUAAUUUCCCCUAUCCUUUAACUUGAAAACAACGGAGCGAUUCAAAGAUCCUUCAAAUAUUUUGGGGUGGGGUCUCAAGAACAGUGGAACCAUUGCAAAUCUCUUUGGGGAAUGGCUGUGACUUUUAACAUCUUUGAACUUGCCCUUUGGCAUGUCUUCACUAUAUGGCUUUGGGCGAAUGCUGAAGAAGACACACACCUUUGACACCUGAGCUGUGUUGUUUGAGAACCCUCCCUAUUCCUGCGACUGUAACAUUCUUUACUUGUGAUCUUUGGGUGAAGGGUGGUAAUAAAUCGCCAUCAUCAUCAUCAUCAUCAUCAUCAUAUCCAGAGCACAGCCCAAGAAUCUCCUGACUCAGGCUGAGUGGGCAGAAACAGGAGUGGUUGCACCUUGCUACCUGGAAUGCAGAGCAACACCUGAAUGCAGAAAACACUGAUCUGGUGUUUUGGGCCAGGCUCAUUUGACACAGUCCUUGACAUGCCCCUUUCCUUCACCAGAGGGUCACAUUCCCUCCCUGGGUAACCUCCUAUGGUAGGCGGGGCCAGAGGCAAACGUAGGCGGGGGCCAGGCACGUGAGUCUUUACCUUUGUAAGGACAAGCAAGAGGCACAAGCACAGAUCAAGGACAUGUUUGAACCAGGCAAAAGCGCUCAAGGAAAGUGUGACCAGCACGGUUCUUUACCUCCCUGGCCACCUUUGAGAGGAAAAGCAAGACGGAAAUUCCUUCCUGCAUUCAUAAAAAUGUAAGGUGUUGUCACCCUCUUCAGGCAAGCUGUUUAACGCAGGGCGGAGGCACUUUACACAGUGGUUUAGCAAGCUGCUGUGUGAAGCUCCUCCCCCUUUAAAAGGGGGUGGAGCUUGGGCAUGGUGGGAGGGGCUUGGGUGAGCUGUGGGUGGACAGGCGAGGGAUGGGUGAGGUGUAAAGGUCAGAUGUGGGCGAAGGGCAAAACAGGAGGAGGGGUUGGCAGCCCCUACCCGGUCAUAACUGGGUCAUGCCAGGAAAACCAAAGAAGAAUGUUACGUCAGAAGAGCACUUUCGUCUGUUUCCCUGGACCAGUUUCUGCUUGAGAAAUCACAUGGGAUUUUGGUUGUUGUUUCGUUUCACUCCGCCGCAAAGAUAACUGAAUGGAAACUACAAGUGGCAGCUUGGGAAUUUGAGGGUGGGGGGGAAACGGACGCUUUGCUACCCGAAGCCAAAUUCAAACAUGCCUCUGCAUCCGGGGGCUCAACAAAAAUGUAAUUUACUUUCGAUUGAUUCCAUCAGGCUCCACUUUAAACGGCCGGCUUAGAAGCAACCAUCCGUCAGGCGACAGGAGAGAAAAGGAACCACAGAGCUUCCUUAUCCGCUCAGCUGAGAGAUCAGAAGUUCCAGCUUUUUCCUCUCCUUGAGCUUGUUCCACUCCAGCCGGUUGUCACAAGAACCUUGCAAUGAAGAUCUAGUGCCCAAUUUUGCUUUGCUCCUCCCCCCUUCUAUUUCCCCAUCACUUUUUCCUUUUGUGCUACAUCUUUUAGAUAGUAGGCCAGAAUGCAAAGAUUAUUAUCGCAGAGAUUGCAUUGCCAGCCAGCUCUUUUUGAGGCUUGACAUCUUUGUUUUUUAACUGUGAUUUUCAUUGGGCAAUAUGUAUUUAUAUGAAAGCAGAGUUUAUAAAUACUGAAAUAAA